ACCUGGGCCCAAACGGGCCCGGGCUGCGCGAGGAAGGCUUGGCUUUCGUCUCGGGUGGGAGCCUGGGUUUCCGUGCCGCCGCGACCGGUGGACAGACGCUUUCAUGCAAAAGUAACCAUUCAUUCCUUCACUCGGACAACUCGGGGGGUCCUGUGACUGCCACCCGCGACAGUGUGCGGCGACCUGGGCAAGACCGAUGGCACUGCAUUCCCCGCUGCUGUGCACUAGUAGUGAGUGCUCGGUAAGCCUAGGAGGCAAGGUCCCUACCGUUCACACUUCAGGACUGCUCUCAAGCCUUCACCAAACCAGUCUGGGGAAAUCAUGCUGCUGCCACCCCUUACUCCAACCAUGAGGAAUCUAUGCAGGGUUUCAGCCAACUACAAUUAAAUUCCAUCACCUUAUGAUCUUGAUAUCUCCUCUCAGAUGGAAGAAAUGACCUCCAUCCUUAUUCCAUAAAGCAAAAAGGCUGAGUCAGACCUAACAGAAGCAAGCAUUAAAUCCUUCAGAACCUUGUAUGCCAAGUUAAAGAAUUUGUAUUGUAGCAUAAAGCAAAGAAAGCUAUACAUGGCAUUUAAACAACAGUGACAUUAUACAGUUAUUUUAAAAGGCCAUCCUAUGCAUCGAUUUGAUAUUGUAUCUCUUGAUGAGAUGUAGUAUGAAGUACACAAUAUCAUCUAUUGGAGCAAAGUAAACAACACCAUAGGAAGUAACCAAACAAAUCCAGAAGGUGAAACAUUCUGCAGGAUAACUGGCCCCAUCUCUUCAAUAAUUUAUUGUUUUGAAUAAAGCCACUACUCUACUCUAUGAAAAGAAUUUUAAGGGACAUAAGAGUCUGGAUUAAAUUCUAGUUUGAACAGGCCACCUAUAAAAUGCAUUUUUCAGGACAAUUGAGGAAAUUUUAAUGUAAAUGGACUGAGUGUAUGCUGAAAAUGUAUUGCCGUGGAAGGUGGAGAUCAUUAACUAGGAAGAGCAAGCCACAGGACAGUUGUAAUACAAAUAAAUAAUACAAUAACUCAUAAAUAAUAGAAGAAUAAACUUGCCCAUACAACUGUAGACCUACUUUUGCCCGCCCCUUUCUAUGUUACAAUAUCUCAUUUUGAUUACAAAAUGCAGUGCUUUUAGGUGCUAUGAAAAAAAAAAAA